rnacentral:lncRNA from 1 species
CUCUUAUCUGUUACUAUUUUGGUAACAGACUUGUUUUCAAAGGUUGAGUUACCCACUUACUUUAGAGAAAGAAGUAUAAUUGACUCUUAUUCUUAGUAUUAAAUAGUUCCAUUCUCUAAACUGAUACAAGUUCUGUAAUUUGCACUUUAAUUGAGCACCCACACUUUCUGAGAGUGCAAACUCAGCUCUCUACCGUAGAGGCUGAUCGCUAAUUUGGAGACAUUUGAGCAGUGAGGUCUCCCCUUCGUCUUCUCCAGGUGAGCUUUCCUCAUUGCAUUUAGUCUGAAACUUGAAGUCAGUCGUGAACCUUCCUCGUUGCUCUGAUGGAGUGUCAGCAACUUGAGGGCAUCUUCCCCAUUGCAGCCCCAGCCUGACACAGACCCAGCAUACCAAGUGAAGGAAGGAGUGAAAUGUACCAAAUGUUUUCCUAGCUUGCCCGGACCAGCCAUCCUGCUGCCUCUUCCCACACGCUGCUCUGUCAUGGCGCUCUCUCAGACCUGAAUGCAGAGAGAUUUCAAGCAUUAUUUUUGACUGCUCCUUAACCACUGAAUGUUCAGUUGGUGAAACUGAAGGCCUUUCACUCCGAAAAAAUAAAAAGAAGAACCUGAGCGUCAC